rnacentral:rRNA from 1 species
AUCUGGGCGGCGGUAUUCAGGAUGACGGGCCCUCUUUCGGGGGGUCGGUCGUCUGAUAUUUCCGUCGCCGAUCAACCGCAGACGUCGCGACCUGUUCGCGGCCGGUCCCUGCUCGGAGGAGCCGCGUUCGAGUUCGUUGUGUGCGCGUUUCGGCGUGUCACGCGGCGAAGGCGCGGAUCUCUGGCUGGCCGUCGGACAGUAUGCUCAACGGUGUCCGGUGUCGUCGUCUCGUACGCGCGCGCACCGGUACCGGUCAGCGACGAAUUCUUCGGGCCUCUUUCCGACCCGUCUUGAAACACGGACCAAGGAGUCUAACAUGCGCGCGAGUCGCGGGGUGUCGAGCGUACUUCGGUGCGUUCGUUACGUUGCGAAACCCGUACAUGUCGAAGGCGUAAUGAAAGUGAAUGGGGAAGAUGGUGUUCCGAGUACACGUUCCGCGAUCGCUGGUAUCGCGGCCGGACACCCGCAUUCCCGGGGCGUCUCAACGGCCCGUCGCUGAUGCGGACAGUCGUCUCUCGGGGCGGCUGUCGGUCGGCGAUGAACCGA